UUAAUUUUUCUCUUCUCUUGUGCUUAAACAAAAGUAGCUACACUUGCUUCUUUCAUUUAAAGCCUGUUAUGUAUUAUAUGAUGCAAUAUUAAUCAAUACCGUGCAGAUCCAUUCUUUAUCCCUCUGGCAAACACUAAUGUGCACCGGUUAACUCGUGUAAGGGGUUUCAUUUCCAAGUUCUAUCUAAUGCGGUCAUAGUAGCUGACUCAAUAUAAUGCCAAGCUUCCAGAAUAUUCUUCAGCUUCCUAUUGUUUAGGAUCAGAACUGUCUGACAAGAUGCUACAUAUAUUUAGAUCGGCAAAUUAGUGACCUUGCUAUUUGUGAUUAUGUGGGAAAUCCAUGGAAUACCUCAAAUCAUAAUUGAAGCCUCUAUGGGAACAAGUAGAAAUCAAACGCAUUUGGAAAUUGAUAACUGUUUAUGCGAAGAUGGAAACAAAAAGCAUUCAAAAAAUGUCUUCAUGUGAAAAACACCAUUGAAGAUUCUUCCUUUGCGUUGGAUAUCUAGCUUGUGCUAGGAGGAGAAAGCUGAUCACAUUACUCUUGCCAUUUGGAAAGCUUGGACAACUUUCUGUAUACUACGUUUGCAAGCAGCCAUUCUUUGUUUGUAUAGCGUUUUGUAGUCUGUUGUGCAGAGUAAAGACUUCUUUUUGUUAAAUCCAGAGUAAAGACCAGCCAUGCAUGUAGAAGGCUCACCUUUUAUAAAAUUAAUUAUGUCCAUUAUUGGAAUGGAAUGUAUAAAGAUAACAAGACCUAUUUUCCUUUGGAUGAAUAAGGAAUUGUCAAAGUUGCCUCCAUUAAAAAUAUUAGGCCAACACUAUGGCGGUUAUAUUGUAUAACA